rnacentral:rRNA from 1 species
UUCUGGUCGUGGCAGUCGGUCCGCCCCUCACGGGGUGUGCACCUGGCUUCUGCAGCCAUCCUCGCGGAGAGCGCGUCUGUCGUUUAUUCGUCGGGCGUGGGAUCCGCGUCAUUUACUGUGAGCAAAAUAGAGUGUUCAAAGCAGGCUUAGGCCGUUGAAUACAUUAGCAUGGAAUAAUAAGAUAGGACCUUGGUCUAUUUUGUUGGUUUG